CCCGGGUAACUCGGCGUUACCUGUAACCCGAAACCGUCGAUAGCGGGGGGCGAAGCCGAAGGAAGAAGUUUUAACUGUUGCCCAACCCGCAGAUUCUACUGUGAAACCCCGUCCUGUGGGGCUGGCGUCGGUACAGAGGCUUUUCUGAAGGAAGGUUUUUGUAUCUUAAUCGCAGACAAAGGUCCAGGCCCGGAAGGGAGCACACCGCCUGUGAACAACUAUCGCUCACGGGGGCGCGGGGCGGAGGCGAAUUUGCGAACCACUGGGCAAUGGAAGAAGCU
rnacentral:SRP_RNA from 1 species